AUGUUUCCAUUUAGGUUCAAGAGGAAGCAGUUUCCAGUCAGGCUUAGCUUUGCUCUGACCAUUAACAAGGCACAGGGACAAACUAUACCAAAUUUUGUUGUAUACCUCCCUGAACCGGUACUUUCAGACGGGCAACUCUAUGUUGCUCUUUCUAGAGCUACAUCAAGAAGUUAUAUGAAGAUUCUUACUGUCCCAGAUAAGCAAAAGGAAGGCCAAACCAACUCCAAUGCAAAUUUUACAAAGAACAUAGUCUACAAAGAAGUUCUCAGCGUGUAG
rnacentral:rRNA from 1 species